GACGAACGCUGGCGGCGUGCCUAAUACAUGCAAGUAGAACGCUGAAGCUUGGUGCUUGCUCCGAGCGGAUGAGUGGCGGACGGGUGAGUAACGCGUAGGUAACCUGCCUGGUAGCGGGGGAUAACUAUUGGAAACGAGAGCUAAUACCGCAUAAGAGUAGAUGUUGCAUGAUAUUUGCUUAAAAGGUGCAAUUGCAUCACCACAAGAAGGACCUGCGGUGUAUUAGCUAGUUGGUGAGGUAACGGCUCACCAAGGCAACGAUACCUAGCCGACCUGGGAGGGUGGUCCGCCCAACUGGGAAUGGGACACGGCCCAGACUCCUACGGGAGGCAGCAGUAGGGGAUCUUCGGCAAUGGACGGAAGUCUGACCGAGCAACGCCGCGUGAGGGAAGGAGGGUUUCGGGUCGUAAAGCUCUGUUGUAAGGGAAGAACGAGUGUGAGAGUGGAAAGUUCACACUGUGACGGUACCUUACCAGAAAGGGACGGCUAACUACGUG
rnacentral:rRNA from 1 species